CCCCUUGAACUACGGCAUGCUAUACUGCAAGUCGGACGAGUUCUCGUUGAUGAUCGGUGCUUGCACCGAGAUUCAACAUGGAACGAGUGGCGGACGGGUGAGUAACACGUGGGUAACCUGCCCUUAAGUGGGGGAUAACAUUUGGAAACAGAUGCUAAUACCGCAUAGAUCCAAGAACCGCAUGGUUCUUGGCUGAAAGAUGGCGUAAGCUAUCGCUUUUGGAUGGACCCGCGGCGUAUUAGCUAGUUGGUGAGGUAAUGGCUCACCAAGGCGAUGAUACGUAGCCGAACUGAGAGGUUGAUCGGCCACAUUGGGACUGAGACACGGCCCAAACUCCUACGGGAGGCAGCAGUAGGGAAUCUUCCACAAUGGACGCAAGUCUGAUGGAGCAACGCCGCGUGAGUGAAGAAGGCUUUCGGGUCGUAAAACUCUGUUGUUGGAGAAGAAUGGUCGGCAGAGUAACUGUUGUCGGCGUGACGGUAUCCAACCAGAAAGCCACGGCUAACUACGUGCCAGCAGCCGCGGUAAUACGUAGGUGGCAAGCGUUAUCCGGAUUUAUUGGGCGUAAAGCGAGCGCAGGCGGUUUUUUAAGUCUGAUGUGAAAGCCCUCGGCUUAACCGAGGAAGCGCAUCGGAAACUGGGAAACUUGAGUGCAGAAGAGGACAGUGGAACUCCAUGUGUAGCGGUGAAAUGCGUAGAUAUAUGGAAGAACACCAGUGGCGAAGGCGGCUGUCUGGUCUGUAACUGACGCUGAGGCUCGAAAGCAUGGGUAGCGAACAGGAUUAGAUACCCUGGUAGUCCAUGCCGUAAACGAUGAAUGCUAGGUGUUGGAGGGUUUCCGCCCUUCAGUGCCGCAGCUAACGCAUUAAGCAUUCCGCCUGGGGGAGUACGACCGCAAGGUUGAAACUCAAAGGAAUUGACGGGGGCCCGCACAAGCGGUGGAGCAUGUGGUUUAAUUCGAAGCAACGCGAAGAACCUUACCAGGUCUUGACAUCUUUUUGAUCACCUGAAAAGAUCAGGUUUCCCCUUCGGGGGGCAAAAUGACAGGGGGGUGCAUGGGUUGUCCUCCAGCUCCGGGUCCUGGAAAUGUUGGGGUUAAGUCCCCGCAACCGAGCGCAACCCCUUAAUGACUAGUUUGCCCAG
rnacentral:rRNA from 2 species